UAGGGAAUCUUCCACAAUGGACGCAAGUCUGAUGGAGCAACGCCGCGUGAGUGAAGAAGGUUUUCGGACCGUAAAGCUCUGUUGUUGGUGAAGAAGGAUAGAGGUAGUAACUGGCCUUUAUUUGACGGUAAUCAACCAGAAAGUCACGGCUAACUACGUGCCAGCAGCCGCGGUAAUACGUAGGUGGCAAGCGUUGUCCGGAUUUAUUGGGCGUAAAGCGAGCGCAGGCGGAAGAAUAAGUCUGAUGUGAAAGCCCUCGGCUUAACCGAGGAAUUGCAUCGGAAACUGUUUUCUUGAGUGCAGAAGAGGAGAGUAGAACUCCAUGUGUAGCGGUGGAAUGCGUAGAUAUAUGGAAGAAUACCAGUGGCGAAGGCGGCUCUCUGGUCUGCAACUGACGCUGAGGCUCGAAAGCAUGGGUAGCGAACAGGAUUAGAUACCCUGGUAGUCCAUGCCGUAAACGAUGAGUGCUAAGUGUUGGGAGGCUUCCGCCUCUCAGUGCUGCAGCUAACGCAUUAAGCACUCCGCCUGGGGAGUACGACCGCAAGGCUGAAAC
rnacentral:rRNA from 1 species